rnacentral:rRNA from 1 species
GCGGCAGGCCUAACACAUGCAAGUCGAGCGCACCGCAAGGUGAGCGGCGGACGGGUGAGUAACGCGUGGGAACGUGCCCUUUGGUACGGAAUAGCCUCGGGAAACUGGGAGUAAUACCGUAUGAGCUCUUCGGAGGAAAGAUUUAUCGCCAAAGGAUCGGCCCGCGUUGGAUUAGGUAGUUGGUAGGGUAAUGGCCUACCAAGGCGAUGAUCAGUAGGGGAACUGAGAGGUUGAUCCCCCACACUGGCACUGAGAUACGGGCCAGACUCCUACGGGAGGCAGCAGUAGGGAAUAUUGGACAAUGGGUGCGAGCCUGAUCCAGCCAUGCCGCGUGCAGGAAGACGGCCUUCUGGUUGUAAACUGCUUUUAUCAGGGGAUAAAAAGCUCGUGCGCGAGCCAUUGAAGGUACCUGGUGAAUAAGCCACGGNUAACUACGUGCCAACAGCCGCGGUAAUACGUAGGUGGCAAGCGUUGUCCGGA